GAUGAACGCUGGCGGCGUGCCUAAUACAUGCAAGUCGAGCGAACAGACGAGGAGCUUGCUCCUCUGACGUUAGCGGCGGACGGGUGAGUAACACGUGGAUAACCUACCUAUAAGACUGGGAUAACUUCGGGAAACCGGAGCUAAUACCGGAUAAUAUAUUGAACCGCAUGGUUCAAUAGUGAAAGACGGUUUUGCUGUCACUUAUAGAUGGAUCCGCGCCGCAUUAGCUAGUUGGUAAGGUAACGGCUUACCAAGGCGACGAUGCGUAGCCGACCUGAGAGGGUGAUCGGCCACACUGGAACUGAGACACGGUCCAGACUCCUACGGGAGGCAGUAGUAGGGAAUCUUCCGCAAUGGGCGAAAGCCUGACGGAGCAGCGCCGCGUGAGUGAUGAAGGUCUUCGGAUCGUAAAACUCUGUUAUUAGGGAAGAACAAAUGUGUAAGUAACUAUGCACGUCUUGACGGUACCUAAUCAGAAAGCCACGGCUAACUACGUG
rnacentral:rRNA from 1 species